rnacentral:misc_RNA from 1 species
GAAAUGCGAUAAGUAAUGUGAAUUGCAGAAUUCAGUGAAUCAUCGAAUCUUUGAACGCACAUUGCGCCCAUUAGUAUUCUAGUGGGCAUGCCUGGUCGAGCGUCAUUUCAACCCCUAAGCACAGCUUAUUGUUGGGCGUCUACGUCUGUAGUGCCUCAAAGACAUUGGCGGAGCGGCAGCAGUCCUCUGAGCGUAGUAAUUCUUUAUCUCGCUUCUGUUAGGCGCUGCCCCCCCGGCCGUAAAACCCCCAAUUUUUUCUGGUUGACCUCGGAUCAGGUAGGAAUACCCGCUGAACUUAAGC